rnacentral:rRNA from 1 species
GUGGGGAAUCUUGCGCAAUGGGCGAAAGCCUGACGCAGCCAUGCCGCGUGAAUGAUGAAGGUCUUAGGAUUGUAAAAUUCUUUCACCGGGGACGAUAAUGACGGUACCCGGAGAAGAAGCUCCGGCUAACUUCGUGCCAGCAGCCGCGGUAAUACGAAGGGGGCUAGCGUUGCUCGGAAUUACUGGGCGUAAAGGGCGCGUAGGCGGACAGCUUAGUCAGAGGUGAAAGCCCAGGGCUCAACCUUGGAAUUGCCUUUGAUACUGGCUGUCUUGAGUUUGGGAGAGGUGAGUGGAACUCCGAGUGUAGAGGUGAAAUUCGUAGAUAUUCGGAAGAACACCAGUGGCGAAGGCGACUCACUGGCCCGAUACUGACGCUGAGGCGCGAAAGCGUGGGGAGCAAACAGGAUUAGAAACCCCAGUAGUCC